UACGAAGGGGGCUAGCGUUGCUCGGAAUGACUGGGCGUAAAGGGCGCGUAGGCGGCUUUGUGCGUCACACGUGAAAGCCCCUGGCUUAACCAGGGAGGGUCGUGUGAAACGGCGAAGCUGGAGGCAGAGAGAGGCUGGUGGAAUUCCCGGAGUAGUGGUGAAAUGCGUAGAUAUCGGGGAGGAACACCGGUGGCGAAGGCGGCCAGCUGGCUCUGACCUGACGCUGA
rnacentral:rRNA from 1 species